GAGGGUAUAACUCAGUGGUAGAGUGCCUGCUUAGUAUGCACCAGGUCCUGGGUUCAAUUCCCAGUACCUCCA
rnacentral:tRNA from 1 species